UACGUAGGGGGCAAGCGUUGUCCGGAUUUAUUGGGCGUAAAGAGCGUGUAGGCGGCUAGGUAGGUCCGUUGUGAAAACUCGAGGCUCAACCUCGAGACGCCGAUGGAAACCAUCUGGCUAGAGUCCGGAAGAGGCAAGUGGAAUUCCUGGUGUAGCGGUGAAAUGCGUAGAUAUCAGGAGGAACACCGGUGGUGUAGACGGCUUUCUGGACCGUAACUGACGCUGAGACACGAAAGCGUGGGUAGCAAACAGG
rnacentral:rRNA from 1 species